CAUCUUGUGAGCAUCUGGGCCAAGUUCAGGGCUGGUGCUCUCGUUCAGAUAGAUUUAGCUGGUGGUGCAGAGAUCCGUGAGCUUGCUUUUACAGGACUUUAAUGAUAUAUAAAAGCAGCACGAGGUGCUCCUGACUGUGGAUUAAUUUGGAGAUGACUUUCUCUGUUGAAGAGUAGCAAGACUCUCGCGAGUUCUUAAAAAUGCACUUGUUUGGUAUGAGAAUGAAAAGCAGUGGCUGAAGAACCAAUCUUCAAUGGGCAAGCCUUCUCUGGGUCUUGCUCCGUCACCGAGUCUGGAGUGCAGUGGUAUGAUUAUGGCUUACUUGAACUUCUGGGCUCAAGCAAUCCUCCCACCUCAGCCUCCAGAAUAGCUGGGACUAUAAGUGUGGAUCAUCAACCCUGGCUAAUUUUUUGAUUUUUUAUAGAGACGAGGUCUCACCAUGUUGCCCAGACAAGUCUUUAACUCCUGGGCUCAAGCAAUCCUCCCACCUCAGCCUCCUAAAGUGCCGGGAUUACAGGCAUGAGCCACUGUGCCUGACUUCCAGAUUUGCAUCUUAAAGGGCUGUUCCAUUGAAUGUCUGUUCUAACACGUGCCAUUUGGGAUCCCUUGGAAUCUUCAUGUACAGAACUGGUUGCUGCCUCGUUGAGUCGGUGGGGACAGAAUAGCUCCUGGUUGACAGCAUGGGUUGUGCAGAAGGACGGAUCCUGCAGACAUCAAUAUCUGGCUUUGAGUGGCACAAAGAAAUAAAGGAAUGUGGAUUCAGACCUCACUGGGAUGCUUGGCAAUUCUAAUUCUACCCCAGACUGCAAAUGGACACACAACUGUUGUGACUUUUGUUGAAGAGGAGAAGGAUGGUGAAGGUCUCUUUAGUCAAUAAUCUCUUUGCUGAAAUUGCUUCGGGCAGCACAGAAGCUGGAUUCAGAAGCACACAGGUCUGGGGAUGCAGGCUUCGGCCAGCCUGAUGCAAGGAAAGACUGCCAUCUCGUGGUCAGCUCAAUCCUGGCACCUUGGUGAGGGACCAGGCUGCAGAAAACCAGGCUUGGGGAGGAAACGGUGCUGCAAACUGGAUUUCUGCCGGACAGUGUGGAUGCCCUUAGAAAACACCCAGAAAAGAGCUGAGUGCCCCCCAAGGUAGGCUUCAGUGAAUCCUCUGCAGGUGUGUUGUCAUCCCUUGAGCCAAACACAUGCUUCACACACACGCUGCAGGCUGCGUGAAAAUGAGGUAGAAAUGUGGGGAAAACAUAAUCCCAUGGAGAGAACAAAGAGCUGAACACGUAAAUGCCUCCGGCGUGCCUGGCAGAGAGAACACUCAGGCUGAGAGAAGGGACAGUGACUUGUACCAAAGGUAGGCAAGUAGCCUCUGGGGUCUCAAUCAGCAGGGCAUCUGGUCAACCCUUCAGACAAAGUCAGGUCUGAGCAGGCAAGAUCCAUGGAUCUGAUUUAUUAAUAUUUUUACAAUUAAAUAGAAUCUGAUUGUAAAACUGUUACAUGUGUUGUAAGAAAAAAAGAAAAAAAGGAAGGAUAUAGAAAUGUACAAAGAAGGAAAUAAAAGACUGGAAGCGUCCUCACCUUAGGGACCCAUUAUUAACGCUUAGGUGGCCAAUCUUCCAGACAUCUUGCUACGAAUAUAUUCAAACGGGAAUUAAAAAUGUACUUUUACACAAGUGCAAUCAGACCUUGUACUCCUCUAUCCCAUAACCUACUUUUUCAUUCAACACUAUGACAGAAGCGUCUUUCCAGGUCCAUAAAUAAAGGCUGUUUCCCAUAUAAGGUUCAUGACCCCCAGUGAGGAUGAAACUGCCUGCAAGGUUUGUCUUCUCUCCUGUUCACUGGUUACUCAGCCAGGCUGAUUCAUGGGCUUCUCAAAGGAGCUUGUUUAUCAGAAGCUUGUCUAAGACACCACGUCUUCCAGAAAAUCUCACCUGAGUCACCAACAGAUUCCUCUAAGAGUCUGUAAGCCACUCCUGACCAGCAGGAAACCCCAACAGAGGCAAAGAAUAGGAAAUUAAAUAUUUCGUCAAGAAAAAAUGAGAGGCUGGGUGCGGUGGCUCAUGCCUAUAUCCCAGCACUUUAGGAGGCCUAAGCGGGCGGAUCAUUUGAGGUCAGGAGUUUGAGACCAGCCCGGCCAACAUGGUGAAACCCUGUCUCUACUAAAAAUACAAAAACAAUUAGCUGGGCAUGGUGGUGGGUGCUUGUAAUCCCAGCUACUGGGGGAGGCUGAGGCGGGAGAAUCGCUGAAACCCAGGAGACAGAAGUUGCUGUGAGCCGAGACCACACCACUGCACUCCAGCCUGGGUGAGAGUGAGACUGUCUCAAAAAAAAAAAAAAAAAAAAAAAAAAAGCAAGAAAGCUCCCAUUUAGAUCACUCGGACAAAAGAUUUCUUUUUGUGCCAAAAUGUUCCACUAGGCUUCCAGUUUUUACCACAUAACUUGACAGUCAUGCAAGACUUAAGUGUAUUUUCAGCUAUCCUUUCUCUUUCAUUUAUUUCUGUUUAAUAAGCUCUGUCCAUUGAUUCUAGUUAGUACAUUAUAUAUCUUUUUAAUCACUUACCUGCAG
rnacentral:lncRNA from 10 species